UACGUAGGGGGCAAGCGUUGUCCGGAUUUAUUGGGCGUAAAGAGCGUGUAGGCGGCCAGGUAGGUCUGCUGUGAAAACUCGAGGCUUAACCUCGAGAUGUCGGCGGAAACCAUCUGGCUAGAGUCCGGAAGAGGAGUGUGGGAAUUCCUGGUGUAGCGGUGAAAUGCGCAGAUAUCAGGAAGAACACCCGUGGCGAAGGCGGUUCUCUGGGACGGUACUGACGCUGAGACGCGAAAGCGUGGGGAGCGAACAGG
rnacentral:rRNA from 1 species